rnacentral:rRNA from 1 species
UACAGAGGUCUCAAGCGUUGUUCGGAUUCAUUGGGCGUAAAGGGUGCGUAGGCGGCGAGGCAAGUCUGGUGUGAAAUCCCGGGGCUCAACCCCGGAACUGCACUGGAUACUGCUUUGCUAGAGUACUGGAGAGGGAACUGGAAUUUACGGUGUAGCAGUGAAAUGCGUAGAUAUCGUAAGGAAGACCAGUGGCGAAGGCGGAUCUCUGGACAGUUACUGACACUGAGGCACGAAGGCCAGGGGAGCAAACGGG